GAUGAACGCUGGCGGCGUGCCUAAUACAUGCAAGUCGAGCGAACGGACGAGAAGCUUGCUUCUCUGAUGUUAGCGGCGGACGGGUGAGUAACACGUGGAUAACCUACCUAUAAGACUGGGAUAACUUCGGGAAACCGGAGCUAAUACCGGAUAAUAUUUUGAACUGCAUGGUUCAAAAGUGAAAGACGGUCUUGCUGUCACUUAUAGAUGGACCCGCGCUGCAUUAGCUAGUUGGUAAGGUAACGGCUUACCAAGGCAACGAUGCAUAGCCGACCUGAGAGGGUGAUCGGCCACACUGGAACUGAGACACGGUCCAGACUCCUACGGGAGGCAGCAGUAGGGAAUCUUCCGCAAUGGGCGAAAGCCUGACGGAGCAACGCCGCGUGAGUGAUGAAGGUCUUCGGAUCGUAAAACUCUGUUAUUAGGGAAGAACAUAUGUGUAAGUAACUGUGCACAUCUUGACGGUACCUAAUCAGAAAGCCACGGCUAACUACGUG
rnacentral:rRNA from 1 species